CGAGGGAGUGUCCGACGCGGGUGUGGGAAAGGAGGGUCCAUAGGCACACAAAGAAAAAGCUUCGCCAGACUCUCCGCGAACCUAAGCGCAAAAGGCGUCCUUAUCUCCGCGCCCACACGGCCAUAUGAGCUCCAGGCUGGGAGCCACUGGCCCUCUCUUCCAUUUUCUCAGCUUCUUCACCCGUCUCCAUCCGAUACGCUGUCUUUCCCCGUGUGUUUAGUAGCGGAGUUGCUUCUCCGAAUGGUCGAAAUCGGAAGCUGGUGGCCAUCAACCCUACAGUAAGUGCACCCAAACGGGCUGUUCCGGAAAACUAGGGAAAUAAAGGCCGCAAAGAAGGUGCAGUGCAGGGCAAGCGCGCGCAGCGAAAGGAAUCACCUGACGUCAGUGUGAUCACGUGUCGGCGAGGGCGUGGCCCCCUUGGGUGGCCGAGUGCGCAACCGCAGUUGCUGCAGUAGCUGCUGAACUGCGCAGGUCUGAGCUAAAACCCGGCUGACAACGCGAAGAGGAAAGUUCUGUAAUGCGGCUAUGCAUCUGUGUGGUUAUCAAUCAAUAAAUGCUUACUGUGCACCUGCUGCGGGCUGGAGGAAGAGGCCUUGUGUUCUUCACCAGCGCGUGGUCUCCUGAGGCUGAGGACUGCAGAGUGCCGACCUCCAAGCGUAGGGCAGCACGUGGUAAUUAAUGGAGCAGGGCUGGAUAACGCCAGGAGAACCCCAAUUGGAGACUACUUGUGUCUUUCGGAAGCUCAAAGCAGGAGAACCCAAAUCUUUUGAAAGGAUUUCAUCUGGGCCUCAUCUUUGGGUGAGAGUCUGAAGAGUUCAAGAAUACACCAUAGAGGCCGGGCGUGGUGGCUCAUGCCUGUAAUCCUAGCACUCUGGAAGGCGGAGGUGGGAAGAUCACUCGAGGUCAGG